GACGAACGCUGGCGGCGUGCUUAACACAUGCAAGUCGAACGGUAAGGCCCUUCGGGGUACACGAGUGGCGAACGGGUGAGUAACACGUGGGUGAUCUGCCCUGCACUUCGGGAUAAGCCUGGGAAACUGGGUCUAAUACCGGAUAGGACCACUGCCUGCAUGGGUGGUGGUGGAAAGCUUUUGCGGUGUGGGAUGGGCCCGCGGCCUAUCAGCUUGUUGGUGGGGUGAUGGCCUACCAAGGCGACGACGGGUAGCCGGCCUGAGAGGGUGACCGGCCACACUGGGACUGGGAUACGGCCCGGACUCCUACGGGAGGCAGCAGUGGGGAAUAUUGCACAAUGGGCGCAAGCCUGAUACAGCGACGCCGCGUGAGGGAUGACGGCCUUCGGGUUGUAAACCUCUUUCAGCACCGACGAAGCGCAAGUGACGGUAGGUGCAGAAGAAGGACCGGCCAACUACGUGCCAGCCGCCGCGGUAA
rnacentral:rRNA from 1 species